rnacentral:misc_RNA from 1 species
GAUGAAGAACGUAGUGAAAUGCGAUAAGUAAUGUGAAUUGCAGAAUUCAGUGAAUCAUCGAAUCUUUGAACGCACAUUGCGCCCGCUAGUAUUCUGGCGGGCAUGCCUGUCCGAGCGUCAUUUCAACCCUCAAGCCCCCGGGCUUGGUGUUGGGGAUCGGCGAGCCUCCGCGCCCGCCGUCCCCUAAAUCUAGUGGCGGUCUCGCUGUAGCUUCCUCUGCGUAGUAGCACACCUCGCACUGGGAAACAGCGCGGCCACGCUGUUAAACCCCCAACUUCUGAACGUUUGACCUCGGAUCAGGUAGGAAUACCCGCUGAACUUAAGCAUAUCAAUAAGCGGAGGA